CCUCUCCGUAAUCGCUGAAAGCUGGACGGUAUUAAUACGGUGGGCUUCCUAUCUUUCAGCUGGUGGCCCGAGAGGCAGACUGCCUGAGCCACUCUCAUUAAACUGGUUGCGACUGUGAAUGCCUGAUUGACUUCACUACCCAGCACCCACCACAGUCUCUGCACGACACCCACAACAGUCCCAGCCCGAUACCCGCCACGAUCAAACGCUCCAACAAUCGCUGCUCGGCACCACAACAAUCUCAAACACUGAAAUGCUCCUCCCUGUGAUAGACUGAUACUGAAACGGUCCUCCCUGUGCUAGACUGACACUGCAAGGCUCUUUUGAACAUUAUAUUGUAGAAUGUCCAAUAUUGACUGACUUUCGCCCUCCUGGGCUAAGUUGCUGUGGAAUUUGCAUCUAAUGGUGCUGCUCUCGUUGGAUUAAUGUUGAGUUUGAUGUG